UAGGUGCUUUGUAAAGGUUUGGUUUAAAAGUCCUGUCUGAUUCUAUUCUCACUAUUCUCAGCUCUGUUUUGCAGCACUUGGCCAUGCAAAGUGAUGCUCCCAAACAGGGCAUUGGAGGAGACUCAGCUCAGCAAAGCUGCAGGUAGAGCAGAGCUCAUUGCCACUGUUUUCCAUAUGUUCCUCUCUAUGGGGGCCUGACUGGACCUCGACCUGAGGAGGAUGCGAAACGGAAACUUAAUGGAGAAGCAAGUCCCACCCCCAGGACUUUUUGUCAGAAGCACGGCAAGGAACUUCAGUUUGGCUUUCAAAAGUGCUGAACACCCAAAACUCCUACCAAGGCUUCCUGGAAUUACAGAAGCUGAAGUGCCCCUAAUGCUUGGCGAACAGUUACCCUGUAAUCUUCCUGACUCUUUGAAAAAGGAAGAAAAACAAUGCAUACAAAUUUCUGAGAACCUUGCUGAUGCUGAGUCUCCUUGAGUGAGAAAACAGGUGCCACUCUGCUUUGACUUUUCUGGAUGGACUCUCAUAGUAGGCAGAGCUCUGCUUACCUUGCCACCAGCUGAAGCAAACCUGGAGCCAUGACAGGCAGGCAAAGCAAUCACUGCACUGCAAGCCAGGUGAUGUCCUGCCCAUCUCUCAGACUAGACCAGCCCAGCUGGAUCUGGUUCUUCUUACCUUUUCGAUGUUGCUCCUCAAACCCUUAUACUGAAAUAGGGCCAAGAACUGAUCCUUGGCGACCGGAAUUCAAAACUUAGGGACUCCUGCUGCUCUUGUGUUUGCUGGUGCCAACAGGCUCACUUUAAGGUUGC
rnacentral:lncRNA from 1 species